UAUGUUGGUUCAAGCCUGUAGUCGUGCCUGGUAGGUAAAUCCGCCGGGCUUAGAUGAGGGGUGAUAACGAGGCUGCUUGCAGCCGAAGUGAGUGAUACCCUGCUUCCAGGAAAAGCCACUAAGCUUCAGCUACACACGACCGUACCGCAAACCGACACUGGUGCGCGAGAUGAGUAUUCUAAGGCGCUUGAGAGAACUCAGGAGAAGGAACUCGGCAAAUUGACACCGUAACUUCGGAAGAAGGUGUGCCUUUAGUAGGUGAACCUGUACAAGGGGAGCCCAAUGAGGUUGCAAAAAAUCGGUGGCUGCGACUGUUUAAUAAAAACACAGCACUCUGCAAACACGAAAGUGGACGUAUAGGGUGUGACGCCUGCCCGGUGCUGGAAGAUUAAAUGAUGGGGUGCAAGCUCUUGAUUGAAGUCCCAGUAAACGGCGGCCGUAACUAUAACGGUCCUAAGGUAGCGAAAUUCCUUGUCGGGUAAGUUCCGACCUGCACGAAUGGCGUAACGAUGGCCACACUGUCUCCUCCUGAGACUCAGCGAAGUUGAAAUGUUUGUGAUGAUGCAAUCUCCCCGCGGAAAGACGGAAAGACCCCAUGAACCUUUACUGUAGCUUUGUAUUGGACUUUGAACAGAUCUGUGUAGGAUAGGUGGGAGGCUUUGAAGUGUGGUCGCUAGAUCGCAUGGAGCCAACGUUGAAAUACCACCCUGGUGUGUUUGAGGUUCUAACCUAGGCCCGUAAUCCGGGUCGGGGACAGUGCAUGGUAGGCAGUUUGACUGGGGCGGUCUCCUCCCAAAGCGUAACGGAGGAGUUCGAAGGUACGCUAGGUACGGUCGGACAUCGUGCUAAUAGUGCAAUGGCAUAAGCGUGCUUAACUGCGAGACUGACAAGUCGAGCAGAUGCGAAAGCAGGACAUAGUGAUCCGGUGGUUCUGUAUGGAAGGGCCAUCGCUCAACGGAUAAAAGGUACUCUGGGGAUAACAGGCUGAUACCGCCCAAGAGUUCAUAUCGACGGCGGUGUUUGGCACCUCGAUGUCGGCUCAUCUCAUCCUGGGGCUGUAGCCGGUCCCAAGGGUAUGGCUGUUCGCCAUUUAAAGAGGUACGUGAGCUGGGUUUAAAACGUCGUGAGACAGUUUGGUCCCUAUCUUCCGUGGGCGCUGCAGAUUUGAGGAAGCCUGCUCCUAGUACGAGAGGACCGGAGUGGACACACCUCUGGUGUAUCGGUUGUCACGCCAGUGGCAUUGCCGAGUAGCUAUGUGUGGAAGAGAUAACCGCUGAAAGCAUCUAAGCGGGAAACUCGUUUCAAGAUGAGAUCUGCCGGGGCCUUGAGCCCCCUAAAGAGUCGUUCAAGACCAGGACGUUGAUAGGUCGGGUGUGGAAGCGCAGUAAUGCGUUAAGCUAACCGAUACUAAUUGCUCGUGCGGCUUGACC
rnacentral:rRNA from 1 species